rnacentral:rRNA from 1 species
AUUGAACGCUGGCGGCAUGCUUUACACAUGCAAGUCGAACGGUAACAGGCCGCAAGGUGCUGACGAGUGGCGAACGGGUGAGUAAUGCAUCGGAACGUGCCCAGUCGUGGGGGAUAACUACUCGAAAGAGUAGCUAAUACCGCAUACGAUCUAUGGAUGAAAGCGGGGGACCGUAAGGCCUCGCGCGAUUGGAGCGGCCGAUGUCAGAUUAGGUAGUUGGUGGGGUAAAGGAUCACCAAGCCAACGAUCUGUACCUGGUCUGAGAGGACGACCAGCCACACUGGGACGGAGACACGGCCCAGACUCCUACGGGAGGCAGCAGUGGGGAAUUUUGGACAAGGGGCGCAAGCCUGAUCCAGCAAUGCCGCGUGCAGGAAGAAGGCCGUCGGGUUGUAAACUGCUUUUGUACGGAACGAAACGGCUCUGGUUAAUACCCGGGGCUAAUGACGGUACCGUAAGAAUAAGCACCGGCUAACUACGUGC